CAGGAGUGAACACGUAAUUCAAGUCGAACGGUAACAGGAAGCAGCUUGCUGCUUUGCUGACGAGUGGCGGACGGGUGAGUAAUGUCUGGGAAACUGCCUGAUGGAGGGGGAUAACUACUGGAAACGGUGGCUAAUACCGCAUAACGUCGCAAGACCAAAGAGGGGGACCUUCGGGCCUCUUGCCAUCAGAUGUGCCCAGAUGGGAUUAGCUUGUUGGUGAGGUAACGGCUCACCAAGGCGACGAUCCCUAGCUGGUCUGAGAGGAUGACCAGCCACACUGGAACUGAGACACGGUCCAGACUCCUACGGGAGGCAGCAGUGGGGAAUAUUGCACAAUGGGCGCAAGCCUGAUGCAGCCAUGCCGCGUGUAUGAAGAAGGCCUUCGGGUUGUAAAGUACUUUCAGCGGGGAGGAAGGUGUUGUGGUUAAUAACCGCAGCAAUUGACGUUACCCGCAGAAGAAGCACCGGCUAACUCCGUGCCAGCAGCCGCGGUAAUACGGAGGGUGCAAGCGUUAAUCGGAAUUACUGGGCGUAAAGCGCACGCAGGCGGUCUGUCAAGUCGGAUGUGAAAUCCCCGGGCUCAACCUGGGAACUGCAUUCGAAACUGGCAGGCUUGAGUCUUGUAGAGGGGGGUAGAAUUCCAGGUGUAGCGGUGAAAUGCGUAGAGAUCUGGAGGAAUACCGGUGGCGAAGGCGGCCCCCUGGACAAAGACUGACGCUCAGGUGCGAAAGCGUGGGGAGCAAACAGGAUUAGAUACCCUGGUAGUCCACGCCGUAAACGAUGUCUACUUGGAGGUUGUGCCCUUGAGGCGUGGCUUCCGGAGCUAACGCGUUAAGUAGACCGCCUGGGGAGUACGGCCGCAAGGUUAAAACUCAAAUGAAUUGACGGGGGCCCGCACAAGCGGUGGAGCAUGUGGUUUAAUUCGAUGCAACGCGAAGAACCUUACCUGGUCUUGACAUCCACAGAACUUUCCAGAGAUGGAUUGGUGCCUUCGGGAACUGUGAGACAGGUGCUGCAUGGCUGUCGUCAGCUCGUGUUGUGAAAUGUUGGGUUAAGUCCCGCAACGAGCGCAACCCUUAUCCUUUGUUGCCAGCGGUCCGGCCGGGAACUCAAAGGAGACUGCCAGUGAUAAACUGGAGGAAGGUGGGGAUGACGUCAAGUCAUCAUGGCCCUUACGACCAGGGCUACACACGUGCUACAAUGGCGCAUACAAAGAGAAGCGACCUCGYGAGAGCAAGCGGACCUCAUAAAGUGCGUCGUAGUCCGGAUUGGAGUCUGCAACUCGACUCCAUGAAGUCGGAAUCGCUAGUAAUCGUGGAUCAGAAUGCCACGGUGAAUACGUUCCCGGGCCUUGUACACACCGCCCGUCACACCAUGGGAGUGGGUUGCAAAAGAAGUAGGUAGCUUAACCUUCGGGGGGGCGCUUACCACUUUGUGAUUCAUGACUGGGGUGAAGUCGUAACAAGGUAACCGUAGGGGAACCUGCGGUUGGAUCACCUCCUUACCUUAAAGAAGC
rnacentral:rRNA from 1 species